GACAAACAAGACCAAAUUAAGAUAAAUACAGUAAAAAAGGGGGUUAGAGGCUGAUACUUAGCCUAAAUGUGAAUAAAAUUCAGGCGCAACUGUUGUAACUUAAAAGGUCAUAUUUUCUGUAAAGGUGGAAUUUGUACAGAAUUGAGAAUCUAUUUCUUUUUUAUUUCGAGGCCCCGAAAUCUUGGUCUAAAACCGGGAUUAGAUACCCCGCUAUUCAAGAUGUAAAUUUUAAUUCUAAUACUUUACUUGAGUACUACGGGCUCUGUAAAUUUAAAAUUUAUGGAACAUACCUAAAACUCAAAAAACUUGGCGGUGCCUUAAAUCCUUUCAGGGGAACCUGUCCUAUAAUCGAUAGUCCACGAUUUACCUUUCCUUUUUUUGAAAAGUCAGCCUGUAUACCGUCGUCGCCAGAUUACCUCUAAAAGAAAAGAAGUUAUCAAUAAGGAAGAUAUAAGAUAAAUGGUAAUAACUUAACUACCUAAAACUCAUAAAUCCUAAACGUCAGAUCAAGGUGCAGCCAAUAUUAAGGAAGAGAUGGGUUACAAUAAAUAUUCAUUAAACGAAUUUCUUUUUGCAAAAUAAAAGUUUAAAGGCGGACUUGAAAGUAAUUAAAGAAAAAUAGCGAGUUCCGGUGAACAUGGCCCUAAGGCGUGC
rnacentral:rRNA from 1 species